UACAGAGGUCUCAAGCGUUGUUCGGAUUCAUUGGGCGUAAAGGGUGCGUAGGUGGCGCCGUAAGUCAGGUGUGAAAUUUCGGAGCUUAACUCCGAAACUGCAUUUGAUACUGCGGUGCUUGAGGACUGGAGAGGAGACAGGAAUUCACGGUGUAGCAGUGAAAUGCGUAGAUAUCGUGAGGAAGACCAGUGGCGAAGGCGGGUCUCUGGACAGUUCCUGACACUGAGGCACGAAGGCCAGGGGAGCAAACGGG
rnacentral:rRNA from 1 species